rnacentral:piRNA from 1 species
ACUGAAGAAAGGAACUGGAAAAC